rnacentral:rRNA from 1 species
GCGUUGUCCGGAUUUAUUGGGUUUAAAGGGUGCGUAGGUGGCUUGUUAAGUCCGGGGUGAAAGCCCACAGCUCAACUGUGGAACUGCCCUGGAUACUGGCGAGCUUGAGUCCAGACGAGGUUGGCGGAAUGGAAGCUGUAGCGGUGAAAUGCAUAGAUAGCUUCCAGAACCCCGAUUGCGUAGGCAGCUGACUAGGCUGGUACUGACACUGAGGCACGAAAGCGUG